GUGCACUGCUUAAGUGUCUUCAUGGUCCUUUCUUUGACUUUGGAGUCUCAUUCCAGUGCCAGAAUAACAUCCCUUCUUGCAGAAAGAUCAGGCUGUAUUGUAGUCUGACCCUUCCGAGAGUUGGGUACAUUC
ensembl:snoRNA